rnacentral:rRNA from 1 species
UGGCGAAGUCUGACGCAGCAACGCCGCGUGAGCGAUGAAGGUCCUAGGAGUGUAAAGAUCUGUCGUGAGGGAAGAAAAGCUUGGAUGUAAAUAACGUUCAGGUGUGACGGUACCUUACAAGAAAGCACCGGCUAACUUCGUGCCAGCAGCCGCGGUAAUACGAGGGGUGCUAGCGUUGUCCGGAAUAACUGGGCGUAAAGGGUCCGUAGGCGUUUUGCCAAGUUGAUCGUGAAAGCCACCGGCUCAACCGGUGAUUUGCGAUCAAAACUGUUAGAAUAGAAUAUGUGAGGGGAAUGUGGAAUUCCUGGUGUAGCGGUGACAUGCGUAGAUAUCAGGAGGAACACCAAUGGCGAAGGCAGCUUUCUGGCUCAAUAUUGACGCUGAGGGACGAAAGCGUGGGGAGCGAACAGGAUUAGAUACCCUGGUAGUCCACGCCGUAAACGAUGAGUACUUGGUGGUGGAGGAUUCGACCCCUUCACUAUCGGAGCUAACGCGUUAAGUACUCCGCCUGGGGACUACGGCCGCAAGGAUG